GACGAACGGUCCGAACGUUCUUCGGGAUCACUGGGCUUAAAGGGUGCGUAGGCGGGGAGGCAAGUCAGAGGUGAAAGCCCACGGCUCAACCGUGGAAGUGCCCCUGAAACGGCCUCUCUCGAGGGAGAUAGGGGCGUGCGGAACUCAGAGUGGAGCGGUGAAAUGCGUAGAUAUUCUGAGGAACACCGGUGGCGAAAGUGGCCCGCUGGGUCUUUUCUGACGCUGAGGCACGAAAGCUAGGGGAGCAAACGGG
rnacentral:rRNA from 1 species